rnacentral:rRNA from 1 species
AGUGAACGCUGGCGGUAGGCCUAACACAUGCAAGUCGAACGGCAGCACAGUAAGAGCUUGCUCUUACGGGUGGCGAGUGGCGGACGGGUGAGGAAUACAUCGGAAUCUACUUUUUCGUGGGGGAUAACGUAGGGAAACUUACGCUAAUACCGCAUACGACCUACGGGUGAAAGCAGGGGAUCUUCGGACCUUGCGCGAUUGAAUGAGCCGAUGUCGGAUUAGCUAGUUGGCGGGGUAAAGGCCACCAAGGCGACGAUCCGUAGCUGGUCUGAGAGGAUGAUCAGCCACACUGGAACUGAGACACGGUCCAGACUCCUACGGGAGGCAGCAGUGGGGAAUAUUGGACAAUGGGCGCAAGCCUGAUCCAGCCAUACCGCGUGGGUGAAGAAGGCCUUCGGGUUGUAAAGCCCUUUUGUUGGGAAAGAAAAGCAGCAGGUUAAUACCCCGCUGUUCUGACGGUACCCAGAGAAUAAGCACCGGCUAACUUCGUG